rnacentral:rRNA from 1 species
GACGAACGCUGGCGGCGUGCUUAACACAUGCAAGUCGAGCGGAGCGGCGAACGGGUGAGUAACGCGUGAGUAACUGCCCCCCUCUCUGGGCUAACAGUUGGAAACGGCUGCUAAUACCGGAUAGUGGGGGAUGACUCGCGUCCUAUCAGCUUGUGGGUGGGGUAGUGGCCUACCAAGGCGACGACGGGUAGCCGGCCUGGGAGGGCGACCGGCCACAUGGGGCUGAGAUACGGGCCAAACGCCUACGGGAGGCAGCAGGGGGGAAUAUUGCACAAUGGGGGAAACCAUGAGGAAGAAACGCCGGGUGCGGGAGGACGGCCGUCGGGGUGUAAACCGCGUGCAGCCAUGACGCGGUAGUGGCAGAAGAAGCACCGGCUAACUACGUGCCAGCAGCCGCGGUAAUAC